rnacentral:piRNA from 1 species
UGCUUUUGAAGUUUGAAUGAAUGGGGUC